UUAGGAUUUCCAUUGCUCUGCUUAUAUUGCCCACAUGUCUUCCAUGAUGUCAACUUUAUCCAUUAGUGCUCUUAAAAUUUUGAUAAUAAUAGUUUUAAAUUCCUGGUCUGAUAAUCUCAGUAUCCCUGUCAUGUUGGCUCCUAACACUUGCUGUGUGUCUUCGGAGCAUGUCUUUGCUUUGUAGUAUAUCUUAUAAAAUUUUUUCGGUAGCCAGAUGUGAUAUGCUUGGCAAAAGGAACUGCCGUGACUAGGCCACUCGUAAUGCGGGGGAGGUUGUGAGGGGAGGGGAAGUAUCCUCUGGGUCUUUGAUGAGUUCUCAGUCUUCACGAACCUCUGCUGCUGGAUUGUGAGCUUCCCGAGUGCUUCUUAUUUAUACUCCCCACCCCCCUAUCGUCAACCUCCUCAGGUGGGACAGGAUGGCAAGGGUGGGCUGGAAUUUUCCUUCUUCCAGAACAGUUAGACUGAUCAACUCCAGCAAGUUAGAUUGUGGUUAAUUCUGAGGGCAGACCUUGUUAAGAAAAACAGAAUGCUUUGGUGAAUUUCAAAUUGUCUUUUCCUGACUCCUACUAAAAGUGUGAGAGGAGUGUUCUCAGAUGUUCACUGUCAGAACCCAGUAAAGCUCCAAAAGUUAAAACUGAUGAAUGGGUACCUCUGGAGUUUUUAUCUCUCAGACUUGUCCACACUGAUGAGCAAUUUGGCACUUAAGCUCAGGUUUUAUACCCUGGUGCUGGUUCCUACAGGUGUCUGCUCCUGGGCUUCCGCUCCAGGUAAGUUGUAAUUUUUUUGUAUUUGCCUGUCCGUGAAUUUGGUAGGAGCAGUGUGUCCUGUGACCUCACUUCACUUAGGGAUCUAUGAAGAGUGAUUACUCUUCAGUUUGUUGAGCUUUUCACUUCUUGUUAGGGCAGAGUGGCGACGUCCAAACUGGACAGGAAACUGAAGGUCUAUUUGGCUUAGAAAGAUCCACUGGAAAACCCCGGCAGGCUACAGUCCAUGGUGUCACAAGGAGUCGGACAGGACUUAGCGACUAAGCAACAGUUACAUUUUUUUAAAGGAAGUUCGGAGAACAAGUUGAAUACAGUGGGAAAAAUUGCAGAAAGUUAUGCUAUUGUACAUCUGAAUCAUCAUACGAAUGGAAGUUCUGGUUCAAGAUGACAGUGUAGAAGGAUCCUGAACUCACCUCCUUCCACAGACACACUGAAUCCAUGCUACAUAUGGAAGGACAUCCUUGGAAGAACAUAAAGUUAAUAAAGCAGCUGAGCAGCUCUUGCGUAUCAUGUGAGUAAGAAGGAAAAUACUUUAAAGUGGCUAGGAGAGGCUGAGAUGCAAACUCACCAUCAGGAGAGGACACAAAACCCCACCUUCUCCCUGAGGAGCAAAAGGUUUGAACUUCACAUUGAACACCCCAGCUUUUAAGACUUCUACCUGAGAACACAUCAAAACGUCUGUUUUUGAAGGUUAACAAGAAUUGCAUCCAUGAGAAGCAGAAUGAAUAGAGAGAAGUUCCUUAAAGGGCUCUCAAACUCACCUGUCCCAAAGCCCAGCACAGAGGCAGCCAACUGAAAUGCUCCCAGACUUUCUGUGAAAGAGGUUAUUUGCUUCUAGCAUUGAAAUGAGGGGCAGGCCACUAACUCACACACAUUUAAGAACCUACUGAAAACUCUCGGGGGAUAAACUCUGGCAGACAUCAUUUUUACAGUCUUCCUCAUACUUUGGAGGAAUAUACGCCAUUGGAGUAUACUCCAAUACUCCUCAAAGAGCUCAUAACCCUCAUUGGUACCAUGAUUUUUGUGGCUGUGCCUAAGGGAUACUCCUGUGUCACCUGGCUCUUGUGGCCACAGGGGCUUAUAUUCUCAAGCCCCACAAACCUGCAACAACCAUAAAACUCCUAUAAGAAAACACAGGCAGUAAGCUUUUUAUGUUGGUCAUGUUGAUAAUUUUUUGAAUGACACCAAAAGUACAGAUGUGAAAUGCCAGGCUGGAUGAAGCACAAGCUGGAAUCAAGAUUACAGG
ensembl:lncRNA